AUAGAGAUAAUUAAACAUAUAAUUAUUUAUACAUGUAAACAUCAUAGAAUUGCAUAAGGAAGAGGCGACUAGGGGUUAUCCCACCAGGAGGAAGCUACUGGAAGUAACUCUGACUUUGGGGACCACCAUACAAGUUUGAAGGUGAAAUAAGUGGAUGUCAUAUUGAAGAACCCCAAGGCCGUGAUAAUCAGAACAUGCACAGAUCUACCAACGAAGACUUCAAAGUAGCCUCCAAUGUAGCUGUAAUGUCUAGUAGGGCAUAUUUACGUUUAUACAGUACAGUAAAGGUUAUUUUACAAGAUAGAAG